rnacentral:rRNA from 1 species
GGCAGCACGCUGGCGGCGUGCUUACACAUGCAAGUCGAACGAUGACUUUUGUGCUUGCACAAAAUGAUUAGUGGCGAACGGGUGAGUAACACGUGAGUAACCUGCCCUUAACUUCGGGAUAAGCCUGGGAAACCGGGUCUAAUACCGGAUACGACCUCCUGACGCAUGUCAUGGGGGUGGAAAGCUUGAUGCGGUUUUGGAUGGACUCGCGGCCUAUCAGCUUGUUGGUUGGGGUAAUGGCCCACCAAGGCGACGACGGGUAGCCGGCCUGAGAGGGUGACCGGCCACACUGGGACUGAGACACGGCCCAGACUCCUACGGGAGGCAGCAGUGGGGAAUAUUGCACAAUGGGCGAAAGCCUGAUGCAGCGACGCCGCGUGAGGGACGAAGGCCUUCGGGUUGUAAACCUCUUUCAGCAGGGAAGAAGCGAAAGUGACGGUACCUGCAGAAGAAGCGCCGGCUAACUACGUGCCAGCAGCCGCGGUAAUACGUAGGGCGCAAGCGG